UUUGAAAUAUCUCCAUAAUAAGCCAAAAUGACUUUGCCAACUUCGGCGGAAGUAGUUAAGACAGCCAUAUUUGACACUCGCGAAAACUAAUUCUUUGAAGCGAGCACUUGUUGUGACGUCAUGAGUUCAGUCUUAUAAAUAGUCGGGGCCAGCCUCUUGACCAUUUGUGUUGGCAAUCUUCAAAGAUUACGGAUACCAUCGUUAUGAUGCAGGUAUAGUACCUUAUGAUUACAACCGUCAGGGUACAAGAACCGUAAUAAGGUUACCGUCUCCCGGCAGGAACCGUCUUCUGCAUAAUAUAAACCUACGUUACCGUCAACCGUCAUCCAACACCCUCCGUCUACUGAUCUUCAUUACCAAAGAGAAGUUCUUCGAUUAUACAUAACCGUAAGGUAAUAUACAACACCUACGAUUCCUUCUUAAAGUCUUAAAUACCGUCAGUGUUCUGUACCGUCAAUAUAAAGUAAGGUCCGAAAUUACCGUCAGUGACCAGAAGAACCGUCAGUGUUUAAGUGAUAAAAUACCGUCAAUUAUAAGUCAUUAUACGGUUAUAGUACCGUUAAGUGUAUGAAUUGGUAAGCAAAGGAUGUGUUAAUAAUGUCUUAAAUACCGUCAGUGUUCCGUACCGUUAAUAUAAAGUAAGGUCCGAAAUUACCGUCAGUGACCAGAAGAACCGUCAGUGUUUAAGUGAUAAAAUACCGUCAAUUAUAAGUCAUUAUACGGUUAUAGUACCGUUAAGUGUAUGAAUUGGUAAGCAAAGGAUGUGUUAAUAAUGUCUUAAAUACCAUCAACUACUGGUGUUCCGUACCGUUAAUCUAAAGUAAGGUCCGAAAUUACCGUCAGUGACCAGAACAGUACAACCGUCAGUGUUUAAGUGAUUAAAGUACCGUCAAUGACCAUAAGGACCGUCAGUGCUUCAGUGAUUAAAAUACCGUCAUUAUUAAGCUGUUUUAAGGGUAAAGUGCCGUUAUGUGAGUGAAUGUGAAACGAAAGGAAGUGUUCAAUAUAACCGUCAGUGCUUUUUCAUGGAUAUACAAAUAUCUUAGUGUGGUAAUGUGUAAGAAAUUAAUGCAGCAAUAAAGAUCACAUGAUCUUAUCAAUAUCAGUGCUUCAUAAAUAUAAUUAAUGUAAAGUGUUACUACCAACGGAGAGGAACGUCGUCAGUAUUGGUUACCGUCAUCUUAAUUAUAUUCUAAGUAAAUACAUAAGGGAUCAUCAGUGUUUUAUUGUGCUUAAGUGUCAUCUUUAUUGUGAAUAACCGUCAGUAUAAGUGCCUUUUAUAAUCUGAUCCAUAAUCAAAUAUUUAUAAUUCUGCAAGUGUGUGAUGUCUUUAAUUACCGUAAAGUGUCAUUUAAGGAUAAAUAUAUAUACAGUGCUACAGUGUCGCCGAUAGGAAUGAAUUUCUAUGUGAGAACCGUCAACAAUUAUUGAGUAAGGAGUCUGUUUUUAACCUUAAUAAAGAAGUGGUGCUGUUGAAAUUCCCAACAACAUAUAAUACCAUCCGAGUUAAAUAUCGACUACAAAACCAUAUCGGUCAAUAUAUUAAAAUAGAAUUAUUUCUACAAGUGUCAUCAGUGUGAUUGGUUUUUUAUAUACUAUUCCAUCGCAUAUAUAACAAGUGUGUGGAAAUUUGCUCAUCGUUGAUAUCCAAAGUGUUACUUUACCGUCCAGUUGCAGUUUACCACUAUAUCUGUGAGAAGAAUCUAUACUCUACUACUUCUUGUGGUACCCUACCGUCUAUCUGACCAAUUACCGUCAGAUACUAUUCUUUUGGAGCUACCACCUCACUAUAGUUACAGGAGAGAUUGAGGAAGUAACAUUAUCGUCAAACACCUCAGAAUUUAACGUACAUACUACGGUCAAUGCAGUGCUACAAGCAGUAAUAAAAUCCUCUCAUUUCUACGGUCCCGUCAAAGGGGAUUAACUUAUGAUACUUAUCUCAUGUAUAUAUAUAUAUAUAUAUAUAUAAGUAUUGUUGAAGAGUACUUUAAAUAAAGAGAAACACUAAAAACUAUGGACCUUUUACAUAUAUAGAGUACUCCUUUUUCACUGAUGUUUAAAACCGGGAAGAAGAAGAAGUGUAAUCGCCGAGAUGAACAAAAGAUGAACACUUAGAUACCUUUAUUCUUAAUCAACAAUAACGUGAUAAAGUGACGUUGCUCUCUUACACUGGUGAAGAUGUUAUCAAGCUGACUUUUAACUAACUGACACUACCAUAAUCAUAUCAAAUUGAACAUAAACAUUCAGUGGAAUAACUUACAUACUAAAUAAGUGACUAUUUCUUUCACAUUUAUUAACUUAAGUUGAACUGAAGUAUUUUAUAGAGUAAGAAGGAACUCGUGAACUUUAUAUACAGAAGGAUACUUGUUAUUUAACAGAACAUUUAUCGUUAUAUUACCAUCUUAUACACUUACUCUUAAUAAUUACAAUAUGCUACCAUUUUCAUUGUUAAGGUUUCUAGUUAAAUAAAACGUGUUAAAUGUU